AUCCAGUAUUUUACAAGCAAAUAUUUUCUAUCAUUGCCUUCCCUGGUAUCAACUUGAAAAAUAAUGGCACAUCAAUUUCUUUCACUGAAAAUUGAGCAAGAAUAUGUUCAGAAUUCAGAACGAGUAAAAUCUAUUGAUCUACAUCCAACUGAGCCAUGGUAGUCACAUAUAAGUGCACGUUUGGUCACUUCAAGUCUAAGUUUUGCAUGUGCACAUAGGAACGUGGACUUCAGGUUUAAUUGGGUAUCUUAAUAAAUUGGCAUUGAACUCGCGUUCCAGUAAAAAUGCAUAGUUGCAUGCUUGGUCGUUAGAGUUGGGGCUGGAGAUAUAUUUUGGCUCUAUAGUUGCAUUGUAUGGGGGGAUCGGGGUAAGGCAGCAAUUGAUGCCAACGCAACUACUUCCAGCAAUUUCAGUACUGUUUAUCCCACACCGGAACAUGCACCCAGCGAUAACUGAGCCAUCUAGGGACUUCAUUGAGGCAAAGAUAUUGCAACCUAUGGCGAUGAAACUGUUUUUGGAUUGGGAGAAGACAAAAGGGCUUUUUGUGAAGUCCACAAUUUCUGUGGUCUUUGUAAUACUAUUAUAACAGCUUGAAAAUGUGGGAUAGUUGACGCGAACUGUGCCUUGUAAUGAAAUAUCCAGAACCUCCAGGUUGAAUCUCCUCAAGAAAGGCUUGGGAAGGU